rnacentral:rRNA from 1 species
AUUGAACGCUGGCGGCAGGCCUAACACAUGCAAGUCGAGCGAGCGCCGCACGCGUGAGUAAUGUGUGUGGAUCUGUCCGAUAGAGGGGGAUAACUCCAGUAAACGCUAUCUCUUACCGCAUACCAUCGCAUGUACCCCUAUGGGAUUAGCGCGUAGGGGAGGUAAUGGCUCACCCAGGCGACGAUCCCUAGCUGGUCUGAGAGGAUGAUCAGCCACACUGGGACUGAGACACGGCCAAGACUCCUACGGGAGCAAGCAGUGGGAAAGAUUGCACAAUGGGCGCAGGCCUGAUGAAGCCAGGCGGCGUGAAUGAAAAAGGCCCUAGGGUUGUAAAUUACUUUAAGUCGGGAGGCGUUACCGAAAGAAGAAGAACCGGUUAACUCCGUGCAAGAAGCCGCGGUAAUAC